rnacentral:lncRNA from 7 species
AGAUUACUGAGACAAUGCUUUUGAGCAACUUCUGACUACCACUGAUGUAAAGAUAUCCCAUUGUCUCUGAGAUUCUGAUCAACUGAAGCCAAAGCAUGUAUUAUGAAGUGCUUAGACAGGAUACAGUAUAUAUAUUCCUGAAAGGAAUACAAGCAAAAUGAACUAACAAAGUUGUCAGUCUUGCUGCUGGCUUGCCAAUAUCAGCCACUUGGCUUGAGGAAAAUAUCAUGGGAAAUUCUAAGGAUCAAUCAGCCAACAGCCAAGGAUGGGAGCAAAGAACUUUUUCCAUUUGUUACAUGAAAAGACUAUAAAUUAGAGCAAGAAGCCAGCCCUGCUCCUCAGUCACUGUGGUUGUGAACACUUUGGGAAAUGCAAAAUGUGUGUUUUUUCAUUCUGAUGACUUACUUUGAGAAUCUAAAGUUCAAGAGUACACUUGGUCAGUAUUGAUUCCUUGGAUGAAGACCAAAAGUAAAGAAGAAAACUCAGAUGACAGUAUAAGGCUUUCCUCUGUUGUAAGCAAAUGCAUUGUGCACUCUGACAGCCUGAAUAAGGCAAGUUGCACUGGCAACAAAGUAACCUGUUAGUGUUACAGAGGAUAACACCGAGUUGCUGAAGAUCAUAAAAUGCCCAUAAAAAAGAAGAAAGAGUAUGUAAAUAAAGCAAGUAAGAGUAACCAAGCUGUAGCCUCAAGAAAAAAGGCUUAAACUAAUCUUAAAUUUUAAUCCUAGCAAACUUGUAUUCUUAUGCCAACACAGAAUGUAGAAGAUUUAAAUAUAUACCAAAAACUUUCUCACUUUCUUCCUUUAGGAGUUGAUACCUAAAUGCACUGUUUCCCAUGCAAAUUUUAAUGGAACUCUUUAAAUUUAAAAAAUGUACUGUAGAGAUAGACAUAGACAUGGUUUUAUUGUGUAUGUAUAUAUAUACUUUUUUUUUCUACAGGGCAUUGUGUAAGUUAUGAAGUAGCAAGACUUUUUAUUUUAACAUGCCAAUGUGGAAUGCAGACUUUAAUAAUCAUUUUGAUUGUGCUUUGAGCGUAGGCUUACAGGUCACUGAAUGCGUUUCACUAACUCAUCACAAACUACAAUGUCAAAGUCACCUGCUGUUCCACCUUCACCCAAAAUAAACAGCAUGAAGAAUUCAAACAUGUUUCUUGCUCACCCCUAAGCUUUCAGUAAACAAAUAAAAACCAAGCAAUUCUUACUGGCUC